UACGUAGGUGGCAAGCGUUGUCCGGAAUUAUUGGGCGUAAAGCGCGCGCAGGCGGCCUCUUAAGUCUGAUGUGAAAGCCCCCGGCUCAACCGUUGAGGGUCACUGGAAACUGGGAGACUUGAGUGUAGGAGAGGAAAGUGGAAUUCCAUGUGUAGCGGUGAAAUGCGUAGAGAUGUGGAGGAACACCAGUGGCGAAGGCGACUUUCUGGUCUGUAACUGACGCUGAGGCGCGAAAGCGUGGGGAGCAAACAGG
rnacentral:misc_RNA from 1 species